GCUGUUAUUUUCUUCUCUAGAAAGUCUGGCAUCCAAGGUUCACAAACCCAAUUCAGGCCUGGCAAGAACCCAUGAUAAACACAGAGGCAAAAGAUGGUGUUUUGAAACCAGGAGCUAGCACCUCCUUUGAGGACAAUAAUUCUGAUAAUAAAAAUGAAGAUGUGGUUACAACCUUUCCCCAACCAUCAACCGAAGUUCCAGGCUUUUCUCAUCCUGCCUUCCCAGCACCGGAACCUCUCACGUCUUCAGCAGUCCUUGGUGUUACAGAGGAAGAAGCAGCUAAGCCAAAAACUGGGGGAAAAGAGAAUGGCACUCGGACUAUUAAAAGUGUUCUAAAGGAGCAAGCAGAUCAUAAAAAAUUGAUUUCUAUUGAUGGAGCACACAA